AAGCGCACUACCACGACGCCCAGCGUUAUCCCCGUCGUCUCUAUAUAUACCCGCCCUCCUGCCAGAUUGUAAAGGUCGUGAAACACAGCCAGCAACAGCAAGAACAAGAGCAGGAAUAUAUCCAUCCAUAUACAGCAGCAAGCAUACCUUCCUCGCCUUUCUCCUUGAGGUUCAUCGCAGAAACAAGAAACUCGCAGCCAUGGACAGAUCUGCUGUUUCUCAGGCCCUUCCGGUGCACCAGGAAGACGAGGACCUGUUCGAGACCUCCUCCUCCUUCUCCUGCGACUCCGACGACGAGGCCCAGUUCUCAGACGGCGAGGACCAGUUUGUGCCGGCUUCCCCGCCGGUGCGGAGACUCAACUCUGACAGCGUCUACGAUCUGUCGUCCAUGAAGGCCGAACUCUCCGCCAAGAAAGGGUUGUCGAAAUACUACGACGGAAAGUCCCAGUCGUUCGCGUGCAUGUCCGAGGUGAGAUGCCUGGAGGACCUGCCCAAGAAGAGCCCCUACAAGAAGAUCAAGUCGUGCAGGAGCAACAUCGAUCUGGAUGGGAACCAGAAAGCCUACCCCUUACCUGGUUCUAACAACAGCAAAGGAAUCGCCAAGCAGAACUCUGCGAGCUCCUGCGCGAAUCUGAUGAUGGCGCGGACCAGCAGCGCCAACAUGCUCUACAGGCCUCCCGCGAUCCCUGUCAACAAGAGCGCGUGCCAUCAGUAGGGCUCGCGGCUGCAAAUGUCUGUCCAUGGCUGGCCUCGCGCCUCUUCGUUGUUCCUUGUUGAGGAUUUUUCUUGGCGGGCGUAUUAGCCUGUCAAAUGUAAAGAGGCUUUUGCUUCUCUCAUGUUCUUCAGGAAGACAUUGAUUGAUUCAGUCUGUAAAUACAGAGACCGGUUGUAUACCAAACAUUUCUAUUGAUGCGUGCCCCCUCCACCGCACG
rnacentral:rRNA from 1 species